UACGUAGGGGGCAAGCGUUGUCCGGAAUCAUUGGGCGUAAAGAGCGUGUAGGCGGCCCGGUAAGUCUGUUGUGAAAGUCCAGGGCUCAACCCUGGAGUGCCGAUGGAUACUGCCGGGCUAGAGUUCGGAAGAGGCGAGUGGAAUUCCUGGUGUAGCGGUGGAAUGCGCAGAUAUCAGGAGGAACACCUAUAGCGAAGGCAGCUCGCUGGGACGACACUGACGCUGAGACGCGAAAGCGUGGGGAGCGAACAGG
rnacentral:rRNA from 1 species